CGUGCAGGCGGUUCCGUAAGUCGGACGUGAAAGCUCCUGGCUUAACUGGGAGAGGUCGUUCGAUACUGCGGGGCUUGAGGUCGGGAGAGGGACGUGGAAUUCCCGGUGUAGUGGUGGAAUGCGUAGAUAUCGGGAGGAACACCAGUGGCGAAGGCGGCGUCCUGGCCCGUACCUGACGCUGAGACGCGGAAGCGUGGGGAGCGAACG
rnacentral:rRNA from 1 species